rnacentral:misc_RNA from 1 species
CUGAGGAAUUCUUUUCAGAGCGGAUGUGUUGGGUAACAAUAGUCUAGAGUGUGUAUAGCGAUAGGACAUGGUGGGGGUACCCCUCGACCUCAUUUCUUGCUGGAUAUACCCGUCGCAGUAGCCGCCCUGAGCAAAAGGUGAGGACUGCUCAUUUUGUUGGUAGCAACGAGAAUCAGCAUCAGUACAGUUCCCACCAAAGGAGCCUCCGCAGGGAUGAGCGAAUAUCUUUCAGUGUUAUAGAUUCAAGCAUCAGAACACAUUUCAAGAUAAUUCAGCCAGCGGCUUAGCUAAGGUCAACACUGUCGGGGGCUAGUAGGGGGGCUGGAUACAGCGGGAGCGGAGUUCUAGUAUUUCUUGUUUUCUUUGUUUUCCGAACUUCCAGUGGGGGCGACGAUUUUUACCAGGGGGGGAUGCUCAGGGUCACCCCCCGCUACACCUCUGAAUUCAACCCGAGGGAGAAACGAAAACAUUGAUGUUGCAUUGGAUCUUGACCCACAUCGAUGAGACAAACUGCACAAUUUGGCUCGGGUUAAUCAUUGCAGCAGAUAUACUCGAGACACCAGGGAAAGAUACCCUAUUCAGAUUUUUUAACGUAAGAUACACUGAUUAAUUUAUUCAGCCAAUGAUCAUAAAGAAAAAAUCACUUAAUGAAUUCUAAAAUACGCUAUAAUUACACAAUCACAACAAUACUUCAAAAAACCAUUUAGAUUACAAAUAUACAUACUUUACAAUUACAAUAAUAAUACAAGUACACUUUAACCAGUUUAAUUAAAACCCAUGCAACCAGGGGAGGAACUAUUGAAACCGAACUGUUAAUUUAUAAAUACAUAUUUUAUACAUUAAAAUAUUUCCUUGUUAAAACCCGCAAUCUGAUCUAUGAAACUGCAACGGUUAGUUCCAGCCCCUACUGAUCUCAGCCUUCUUUUUGGAAGCAUCAUAUAAAAGACUUCUUUAAUUGAGUGAUGCAUUUCCUGAACAAUGUUUUGGGUCCACUUCCUCAUUCUCUUACUGUUGUCUGCAUAAACUCCGAUCAUGCGCAAUGCAUAUUUAGCUAUACGCAGUUGAGUUGUUAUCGAUUUCACUCUCAGGUGGUUACACACAUGUUCGGUAUAUUUUUCUUGUACAGUGUUGGCAUUUUUGAUUUUUUUUUUCGCCCCAGCCGAAGCUGUCACAACGUUACUUUUAUUCCAACCAGAUGGUCAGAAUUUGAACCAAAAAUAUCAUUUAUGUGGACGUGUAUGCGCAAUACAUACAGCGCUGACGCGUGUAUAUCCAUGGAUACAUGCAUGCUUCCACGAAAUUUUAUUUCAGUUCGUCAAACAUUUUUUUUUUCAGUUCGGGUUUAAUUUAUAAGGGUUUGUCGAAAAGGCUUCUUAUUUAAGUCUACGUUUUGGGAAAUUACGGGUGAUAUCUGUAACAGAAAUCAAGAUGUGGGACGGUUAACUUCCCUUUCUUUGUUCUCUAAAACAGAAGAGCCUAGAAAUAAUAAAACAUAAAAUAAAAGUACAAACACCAAACACGCGGAACCCAACCAAACCAGAUCAAACCAUAACCCUUCUUUCUCUCCAAUGCGUUGAAUCCUGAAUCCAUUGAACUUGCCGAGACGCAACCAUUAAUUCACUGCACUCCGGACGAGCAUAAGGCACAAGUUAUUGCCUAUAGGGCUGAUCCGUCUUCGUCGUUGCUAAGUAGCCAAGAAUCGUCGCGUUUCCUCUUCAGAGACAGCAACUGAGCGGGUCCGUUGGCUAGUUGGUAUUUCCGUCGUUGUUUCAUCAGCUCAUGUGACUCGGAGGUACUCCCCCCAAAUGCUGGCGAGGCCUGUACAUAUAUCCUCCAUUCAUGAAAUAACUCACUCUUCUUGCUUAAUCACUCUAUACCGAGAACAUCACCCCAAGAUUUUAGAGUGGGGUGUUGAAGUUCAAAGAUAAGCGUGGCAACAGAUACAAGUAUAAAUAUCAAUGGCUCAUCAUCCAGAAACAUCAUGAUGCUUCAAUUCUGUUCUGUUGUUGUAUGGAUGCUAAAUAGCGAACCAGAAUGGGAGGUAUCUAGGUAACGAGAGACAGGGGUGUGGGAGGCACUUUGUGUCAUCUGAAACCCUCGUGCCAUCCCGGCUGGCUUGAGGCUCUCUGGAAGCUGCGUGUGAAUCUGAGUGCCUUUUCCUUUCUGAGUUAGUGCACUGAAUGAGUCUAUUAUAAUCUCUAAGGCAUGUCGUUGCCUUGUUGGUGAUUUUUUCCUUUUUUUCCCAGUUGAUCAUUUAAGGAUUUUAGUUUCCUUCCGUGGUUUCCCCUUCAGUAAAAAGUUCUGUAUUAUACGCUGAAAAUAUUCUUAGAAGUUUUUUUAGUUGGGGAACGUGUCUUCAGCCUGGCGCUGCCCCAGCAACCAGUAAAGUCUACGUAUCUACCACCGAAUCUUUCCCAAUCACGUCACGGUCAUCAAGAUUAGACGCAUGCGCGGACGAUCGAUAUUGCGCAUAAUAAUUACCGUGCAUGACAACUUGCAUCCAGGGUAGAGAACACUUGUCUCAGCUGGUUCAGAAGUACACGUAAACGCAUAGGUCUACGGUACUGGCGUAAGAGACCAGGAAGUUUGUCUCUUUUGUAAAGUUCUGUAUUGAAGACUUGGGGUAUGCAAGUUCAACUUCACACAGUUUUGUUCAUUUGUCUGUCUUCGGCUUUCACCGCGUCGGACGCGGAUGCUGCCGCUGAGGACACGUGUAUUUCUCCGGCGACAAAUGACACCAAACCACGCGUCGGUCACGACGUGCCUCCUCUUCCCAACCGGACUCCGAUCUACGUCGGCGGUAUGUUCCCCAUUGAAAAUAACCAGCUCUUCGGCCUUGUGAAUGACUCCGUUCUCGCUGCAGUCCAACACAUCAAUGACCUAGAUGGCAUACUUGACGGGUACGAACUCAAAAUGACGUGGAACUGGACAGAGGGUCUCCCUAACCGAGCCCUGCGACUGUUGUAUGACUUCGUCUACGUCGACCCGCCUGUCCUGAUGGUCUGGGGACCGAUGUUUUCGCGCGUGGCUGUCAUCGUCAAUGAGGUUGCGGCAGAGUAUAACAUCAUACAGGUCACGUUGGCCAAUUCGCCCACCUUGCCCAACCAGACCCGGUUCCCACUCACCGUUCGCUGCGGCCUGCUGGAGGACGAGCUCAACCAGCCCCGCCUCGCUCUCAUGAAGAAAAUGGGCUGGACCCGGGCAGCCAUUGUCUUCGAAGACAUUGAGUACUUCCGCUCGAACUCGAAAGACUUGGCACAGACGCUAGAGGACGGAGGCGUAACUGUAUUGACGGUUGAAGCUAUCAAUGACAAGAACAAACACCGUGCACAGAUCAUCAAUUUGAUGAACCACGAUGCGAGAAUCAUAUUUGCCAGCUUCUAUGAGGCCCCAGCAUCCAGGUUCUUCUGCGAGGUAUACCGGCUGAAGGCCUACGGUCCGCACAUUAUCUGGAUCCUGAAUGGUUGGAUCAAUGACGGAUGGUGGCGCUAUACGUCCACCAACAACUCUACCUGCUCGUCAGAGGAACUGGAAGAGGUUCUUCGAUACCACCUCGCGGUCCACGGGUUUUAUGAAGGGGCUGAUGUCGACAUGAUCAAUUUCGGAGGAAUUAAACCCACACAGGAACAGAAGGCCUACAUGAAAACAUUGGUCACCGCGGACCUGAGCGUGCAGGACGUCCUGUCCCAGUCCUACGACGGCAUGAUCGUGAUGGCCCUUGCCCUGAACGCAUCCGUCCCCGAGCUAGCCCUGCUGAACCCGCCCCGUCGGCUGGAGGACUUCUACUACGGCGACACGGAGAUGAGAAAGGUCUUCAUGCGAGCAGUAACUAGGGUGCAGUUCUAUGGCGCCACGAGUAAUUUUUCACUGGAUGGAAACGCCGCGAGGACUGGGGAGUCUCUACGUGUCGUCGUCAAACAGUUCCAGAACACAGAAGACGAUCCCAUGAGGUGUAUAUUGCUGCUCGAACAGCCGGGUUGCGACACGCACUUCACCCGCAUCGCCAACAACUCGUUCGUGUGGUCAGGGGAGGUCCCACCCGUUGAUGGUAAAACGUUUCAAGAACAAGUCGUCAUGACAUCACUGAGUCUGCGCAUUGCCGUUGUUGUGGUCGGCACUGUAGGAGUCGUUAUAGCAGUGUAUUUCCUCUAUAUCAACGUGCGAUAUCGCAAUAGGAGGGCGAUAAAAAUAUCUAGUCCCAAGAUCAACAACCUCACGGCGACGGGAGGGCUUCUACUCUAUGGCUUCGUCUUCGUCAACAGUAUUGAAUCUCCAGAUUUUUCGGAUUCGACGCUGAUUGUUUUGUGUCACCUUUCCACCUUCCUCUUCUGCGCGGGCUUCUCCCUGGGGUUUGGAGCGCUCUUCAUGAAGACAUUCCGCAUCCAUCGUAUCUUCACUAAGGCCGUCACCCAACUCAAGAAAGUGGAACUUCCAGAUAGACGGCUAAUCAUGGGAGCUUGUAUACCUGUUGCAGUAGACAUCAUCAUUAUAGUUUUUCGCUUCGCUGUGGAUGACGUCACAGUCAUGACGGCGUCCAAAGACCCAGAGGAGGAUACUGCACAACUGGAGAGGGAAAUAUUUAUCAUUCCCUUCCGUAAAUUUUGCUGGUCUGAGAACGAGUUGUACUUCUUGGGAGUAUUGUACGCUGCCAAAGCAAUCUUGCUGGCCUUCGGCAUCUUCUUGGCCUGGGAAACCAGACUGAUCACUGUGGCUGAGCUCAACGACAUGCCCCUUUGAAAAACCCUGCCCUCCCGGAAGUCUUCGGAACCUUCACUCAAUUGUGUACGCCACUGAGCCGAUUAAUGCUGUAUCACAUGUAAAUAUCUCGGGAUGUCCGUGUACGUCGUUGCGCUGACGGUCACCAUCACAGUUCCUGUGGCGAUCUUGAAGCAAGA